GACGAACGCUGGCGGCGUGCUUAACACAUGCAAGUCGAACGAAGUGGCGAACGGGUGAGUAACGCGUAAUCAACCUGCCCUUCAGAGGGGGACAACAGUUGGAAACGACGGCUACUACCGCAUACUGAGGGAGGGGAUCGCGUCGGAUUAGCUAGUUGGAGGGGUAACGGCCCUCAAAGGCGAUGAUCAGUAGGCGGUCUGGUAGGAUGGACGGCCACAUUGGGACUGAGACACGGGCGAGACUGCUACGGGAGGCAGGAGUGGGGAAUGUGCCGGAAUGGGCGAAAGUCUGGAGGAGCAACGCCGCGGGCGUGAUGUCGGCCUUCGGGGUGUAAAGCUUGGUUAAUCGGGACGCGGUACCGGAAUAGAAAGCCACGGCUAACUACGUGCCAGCCGCCGCGGUAAUAC
rnacentral:rRNA from 1 species